AUGGCGAAAUCCACAAAGAAAGCCAAAUAUUACACACACGAAGAAGCCCUUGCUUUGAUUUUGGCUUCAUCGGAGGACAGCGAAGACAGCCAAUAUGAUUCCGAGAUAGAGGACAUGUUCAAGGAACAAUUGGACGACGUCUUAGAUCGGUCAAUGUCUGAGGACAGUGAUGCGGAUUGGGAGCCGCAAAGCCAGACAGGCAGACCCCCGGCCCCCACUCCUACUGAAGGUGGUCGUGAGAGAUCGCACUCUGCAGCCACCAGUGCUACCUCCCCCGCUGCAUCGCCCACCGCCACACCAACGACUGGCCGUUCCCGUGCUGCACGACGUGUCCGGGGGAGGGGCAGGUAGUGUCUCAUCACAUGACAAUAUCUCAAUAUGGCCAUAUCAAAUGAAUGUGUGAAAAAAUUAUGUUUUGAAUCAUGGAGAAAGGUUUUAUAGUCACCAAAAUGCUUCAGUAAUGUUUCCAGUGUCACAGAAGUGAGUAAAUGCAUUUGGCACAAUUUGGCCAUUUUGGAGACAUUUUGGAGAGGUUUGGGCCGCCAGUGACCACACACCAUAAAAACUCCAUUAAGGCAACACUAAGAGGUUGUUGAACAUGGCUUUGUGUCAUAUAAACAAAUAUCUGUGAUCCAGUUUUUGUUUUCUUUUGUCUUUAUUGUGCAAUACUAUUUUUACAUUCAAAUGACAUCACUGCAGCACAAAUAUACUUCCUUUCAUUUAACAUUAACAAUCAACAAAGCUAUCUAGAGCAAAUUCAGAGUCUCUGUAAGUGAACAUUGAGAAGACAUUGGUAAAGUCAUUCAGGUAACUGCAAUGGUGUUUUCUUUUUCAUUUUCUUUCUGUAGUAUGGGACUGUGAGGUUGCCGCCAUCUGCCUGUUGCUUCACCUGUUGCCUCCAACAUCCAAGGGCAAGAAGUCUGCAAAGAUCAGCGCAACGGAUGCUACUGUCCGCCUGGUGAAGUUCCUUAAGGUCUGUUCUUACAAUUGUGUUUAAAGUAUUUUAGUAGUAUUGGGUUCUCAAGGGCUGAUAGUAAUUUUGUGACAUGGGGUGCAGCAGAUUUCUUCUUUUGGAAAAAAAAAAAAAGGUUUCUAACAAGUGCAGCUUUGUCCUAAUUUGAAAUUAUUUGCUUGUGAAAUGAAAAAGAAUUUUGUUCCUCUAGUCAUUGAAGAUUGUAUCCUAAUUCUAGGAAACAGUCCUGGCAUUCCACACCAAAUCCCGACAUUUUAUUCCAUGGAAUUCAUUCUCUCCCUCUCUCUUAGGUGGGGAGAAGCAUGGAGACCUUCCUGAAGGAAACUGGCCCUGCUCAGCCCUUUCUCCUGUGUGUUGGAGAACGAAAAAACAGCAUCCAGAAUUUCUACAUCAUCCUGGACCAAAAGGCCAUUCCCUCCAAGACGCAGACUGGAGUUGCUGCCUUUGACGAGCUCUUCAAGGCACAUUUUGCUUUUGCUGUGUCCUAUGAUGAGGCGCUAUCCAACUUCUACACCUUCAUCCAGACAACCGUGUAUGGCAUUGACGUUGGCAGUGUGAAGGAGACCCCUCGGGUGAAGGAAAUUAGAGUAAGACUUCUUCACAGUUCAUUUUGAAGAGGAACUCAUUUAUGUUCAUUGAAGAGGAACAUACAUACAUGUAUGUAUGUUCUGGUGUUGAAAAUGAGAUGCUGUUGUUCAACAGGAUUGUCAGUGUUAUUGUAAGAGAUGACAGCGCUUAUCUUCUAACUUGUACUGUCUCAACAAUGCAUUUAGCAUUGAGGAGAAAAACAAUGUCUUUACACUGAUGUGUGUAGAUGAUCUGCUGUACUACAGGCCGUAUGACAGGCAAUUAUCAAAUUACACUGACGACCAAAUGUUUAUUGUGCCAUACUGUUUUCGUGUGACUCCAUGCUGUACAUGUUUUUAAGAAUGUUUUGCAUUUGUGCUGUACCUGCCUUUAAUACACUAUUUUGUGAAAUGAUUUUUUUUUUUCUUCUUGUAUUGUCUUUUGUAUUGUGGUUUUGGCUGGGGGGGGGGGGGGGGGGGGCCGUCGUCCACAACAUUCUACACCCUCAGUGUUAUUUUUUUUACACCUGUAAGUGUUGAUAAAUUGGAGUCCAGUGUAGUUUCUAGUGUAAUAUUAACACUGCUCAGUGUUGAUUCUAUAACACUACGAGCCUAGUGUAGAGUAUUAUUAACACUACUUGGUGUUGGCCAGUGCUGAUUUUUUAACACUGACACUAGUGUUGAGUAUUAUUAAAACUACUCAGUGUUGGCCAGUGUUGAUUUUCAACUCGAUUUAGUGUGGAAUUAACUCUGAGUGUAAAAUCAUUAACACUUUCAAAAGUGUCACUUUAACACCGAAAAGAGUGGAUGCAUAUGCACACUUUCUAAGUGUUAAAAUUGACACUCACAGAGUUGAUUUAACACUAGCGAUUUUGCUGUGUACAGCCAAGGGGAACCCAUGGGAAACCCUUAAGGGAAACCCCGUAAUGUAUAUUAGCUAGCUAGCCAUAAUGGUUAUUCUCAGUACUUUAAUGGCUAAAACCCCGAGCGACUCUGUGAUGCUGUCUGGUCAACACAUUCUCACUCCGAGCGCGUCGAUUUCUGACGAACGGUCAGUGACUUUGGCUUCAGUUUCUGACACAAAAG
ensembl:lncRNA